UCACUAACCGGCAUUUUUGAGUGAAGUA
rnacentral:piRNA from 1 species